ensembl:lncRNA
AGGGCUGCACCUGCAGCAUAUGGAAGUUCCCAGACUAGGGAUCAAAUCAGAGCUGAAGCUGCCAGCCUACACCACAGCCACAGCAAUGGGGAAUCCGAGGAGUGUCUGCGACCUACAGUGCAGCUCACAGCAACACUGGAUCCUUAACCCACUGAAUGAGGCCAGGGAUCAAACCUGCAUCGUCAUGGAUACUAGUCAGGUUCAUUACUACUGAGCCAUGGUGGGAACUCCCCUUACAAAUGACAUUAUUAAGCAUACCACUAAACAGCCAUAUGAAAAGAUAAUAGGGUGAGAUCCAGAAGGGUCCGGAGCACAGGAGUUUCUAUCCCUGUGGAACUAGGGUGAGCCAUCCUUCUGAUGUGUGGAUGUUGUUCACUAAUCCAGAUGUUCAUCCAAUCUCAUUGUUUAAAAGUUUUUAUAGUGCUAAAUCAGCAACCCCUGCUCUUUCCCUUUUCAGAGGUCAGUGAGUGGGCCUGAAAGUUCCAACCUUUUAAUUACUUGGUCUUUCUGGUAACCAGCUCCAUUCUGAGGCUAUGUAGGGUCCCCACCCUAUCUCACUUCAUUAGCAUAAACUCAGGUAUGCUCGAAAGGGCCACCUUAUGAAGGAAGAAAGAGGCUCCCAUCGGGAAGUUCCAAGGGUUUGGGGAGCUCUGUUCCAGGAACCAGGGACAAAGACCAAAAAUAUUUCUUAUACAUCACAAGGGUUUCCAAAGAAUUUAGCACUAAAGUGUUUAUAUAAUGUUUUCAAAAAUAAUGUUUAAAAGCCAGAAAAUAUUUAAAUGCCCAGCAACAGGGGAUAGGUUCGGUAAAUUGGUGUUCCCAUCAUGGUGCAGCCGAAACAAAUCUGACUAGGAACCAUGAGGUUGUGGCUUUGAUCCCUGGCCUCACUCAGUGGGUUGACGAUCGAUGUUGCCGUAAGCUGUGGUGGAGGCUGCACACACAGCUUGGAUCUGGCGUUGCUGCAGCUGUGGCAUGGGCCGGCAGCUGUGGCUCCAAAUUAGACCCCUAGCCUGGGAACCUCCAUAUACUGCAGGUGUGGCCCUCUAAAGACAAAAAAAGACAAAAAAUAAAAUAACGUAAAAACGGCAUCACAGUACAAAGCCAGGAUGGCAGCAGACACACCCACACAUACACAGAAAAUAAAAUCUUAAAGGAACUACAACCAAAAAUUAACAAUUCUACAUUAUUACCACUGGUGAUGGAGUAAAUGAUGACUUCUAUUUUUUACUCUUUCUAUUCUUUUUCUAAAUUUCUACAAUAUGUAAAAUUUUGUGUUGCAGAAAAUGUUUAAAAGACCUAAGAAGGUAUUAAUAAAUGUAUUGAUUUUGUGUGUUCAGUAGUUAUUUACUGAAUGUCCAUUGAUUUGACAGGCCAUGUGGAGACGCACAUCUCUCUGUAAAAUCUUCAUUAAAUACUUGGUAUUAUUUCCUAUUAAUGUAUAAGCAAAAGAAGCCUAGUACAGUGGUUAAAAUCAACAAAAAGUUUGAAAAACUUAUUUAAAGUCACAUAAUGAAUUCACAACACCAGCCAGGACUUGCAACCUCAAACUCUUAAAGACGAACUCAAAAAAACAGAGGCUGUUCUCCUAUUAGUCCUAAUUUCUAUUCAUCGUCUUGAUGUGGUAGCUUGAAGAAAAUAUUGGCCCCAGCACACCACAGCUGUGCCCAUCGAGAAGCAUAGUGUAUUUCUCCUCCUCCGGUCUGGGCUGGUAUGUGACUUGAUCGUGCCAGUUCUGAGCCUAGGCCUCCAGGGACCUUGCAGUUUCCACUUUUUUUUAGAACCUUUGACCACCACGUGAAUCAGCCCAGGCUAGCUUGCUGGAGGAUGAGCAAGCUGGGGAAGAAAGGCUCCAGUCAUCCCAUGGUCCAGACGCAGCCAUCACAAGCCAGCUGACCCCAGCUGCCCCACCAGCUGACCGCAGACACAUGAGCAAGCCCAGCUGAGGUCAGCAAAGCCCAGUCUCAACCCGCAAAACCACCUGGAGGAGUCCAAUCCCAAAUGCCAACCCACAGCAUUGUGAGCUAAAUAAAUGUUUGCUGUUGGAAGCCACAAAGUUUCAGGGUGGUUUGUCACGCAGCAAAAGCUAACUGAUACACCUCCCAGCUCAUCCACUCCUCCUUGUGUCUCAAAGGAGGAGACCAGUAUGGAGAAUGGAAUGCCACUGUGUGUCACAUGGUAACUCACAAACUAGGAGAAGGAUCUUGUUCUCCUGGCCACUAGGCCAGUGUCCUGGCCACAGAAAGCUCCGGAAAGGGAGAGGUUAGCAGAGUUCACAGGCAUGGACAGAAUUAAUACCUUGGCAAACAAGUACAGGGAAUGGGCUUCAGGUCACCACGAGCUCCAUGUCUUCCUGCCAGCUCAAUAGUUUGGCUGCAGGAGAAAAGCCUAAUACCACAGGUUCUGUUCUACCCUGGUCCUGUCUCAGUCAAUUCCAGUAUUUCCCAAACUCAGAGACCACCUGGGAGCUGGGCCCUCCAUGAGACCUCAGAAGUAUUCACUCUGUCUCUCUCUCUCUCCUCACUUCUUUUCACUUCUCUUCUCUCCCUCCCUCCACCUCCUCCUCCUUCAGCCUCUCUUUUUCUUCUUCAAUCUUUCUCAAAAAAAAGCCAGAGAAGCAUAUCCCCUGCCCCACCCCAGCUCCAUGCUUUUCCCUGACCUCACCUGCCUCCUCCAUGCACAGAAGAGGUCACACUGAUAGAAAACCUAAUCAAAAAUCGCAACCCACACCCAGCCUCUGGAUGGCCCUACAACUAAUCAUAACAUACUCCAAAGUGCUUGGCCCCAAACAUUAGCCAAUUAAUCCUUAACCCUGUGUGUUAAUUAGGCCUCAGUCUUUACAAGUUAUAGACCAGGAAAACAAAACCUGAAAGCAUGGCUGCUGUUCCCAAGAUACAGGAGGCAGGAUGAGAGCCUUGGUGCUCCAGGCCUUGGGGCCGAGGCUGGGCACGGCCCACAAAGCCACAGCUCUCCCCCUGGUGCCAGCUCAGAGGCCAGUGCCAAGGGGAGGCUCAAACUUUUCCUUUUCCAUUAGCCACAGGUGUGUUUUACCACAGCCUAACUAGCAGCUACUAUUUAUUCUCUGGGAUUUUCUAAAAAUGUGCUUUUGCAGACCUUCGAGCCAAAGCCAUUCCCAGCAUCACUCUUUAUUAAAUCGAGCCACAGAAAUGUAUUGAAAAUCACGAGCAUUUUGAAUCAUACUGAGUCCUUUAUGGCUAAAAUAAUCUAAUAGACAAGCUGUUGUUAAUUUACAACCUUAAUUUUCAGACACACUUCUUGAGUCAAAAGUACUUCCUGCUCUAUAAUUCCUGUAGGGAUACAGGUGGCCGUGGACUAAGUACACAUCUACUGUACAUUAAAAUGUAUUUCUUACUUAACUUAAACAUUUCUGAAAUCUCAAGUUUAUGUCUAGACUAUUUUAAUCAGCUAAAUGUCAUAAUAAGCCAUAUGUUGGUCUUGAUUGGUUACAUACACCAGCCCUACUCAUAAAGUAUCAAAAGGUGUUUUUAAAGAGAAGUCUGUGUUUGUUUUACCAAGAAAAUGGUGCUUUCAGACUAUCAUAUCAGACGUGCUGGCAGGCAGAAAAGGACCUUACGUAACUGGUGAGGAAAAAAUGGGGUUUUCUCCCCUUUUUCCCCUCCGUGUACCACUCCGUCAAUACUACUUUUAAACUGCAGAGUUUUGAAGCCACAAGCUUAUAUUGGUCUAAAACGUCACUUGACCGCUACCCACAAAACAUCAACACUACAAGCAGGCUGGUGCUGAGCAGGUAUUUUUGUUGCUGCUGUUCUCAUUUUACAGGGGUUCUCGGCUGUCAGUUCAUUCCCAUCCGAGCGAGCCUGUAAGGCACCCCGCAAAAGCCACCAAGUCACCCCAACACAGGAUGGCGGGGAAAGUACAACCACUGCUGACUGACUAGGUAUCCAAAUUCUUCCGGAGCACCUGUCAUGCCUCAGGUGUUGUGUUAGGAUCUCCAGUCACAGAAAUGAACACGAGAAUCCUGGCACCUGCGUUCGUGGAGCUGGCAGUUUUACUGGGGGAAAGACACUGAACAAGUAACUCCACAAAUAAUCAUAGAAAUACAUUUUCAUUCCAGCUCUGAAGAGAAAGCACUUGAUACGAUUGAAGUUCAUUCCAGGGCCACAAACUGUCAUGAAGGAACAAGGAGGUUUGCCUCAAGGAAAUGAUAUGAGGCGAUGACCUUGGGAAUAAGUAAGAGUUGGCCAAGAGUCGGUGCAUUUGGCGCUGGUAAAAUGGCGAUUUUAUAGGAGAUAGGGAGGAAUGGAUGGAAGAGGGGGAUAAGGAGUGGGGGAGAGGGAGAGAGAGGGAGGGUGCAUGAGGCAAGGAGACGAGGGGAGAAAAGGAGAGGAGAAAGCAAGAGAAUGGGUUUGAAUCCAUUAACAUCUUUUAUGACAAUCCAGGAAGCAUCAGAGAUUGUCUAAAAUAACUUUGUUUCCAAUUCUGAAGAAACCUAAUUGAAAAAGCACUUAUUAAUCAAAUAGGAAAAUGAAAGCUUUCUUAUCAACCUAAGUAAAGUUCUUAACACAAACCUUGGGGCGGGGGGGGGGACCCACAAAGGGAUACUUAAAGGGAAACAAGUAAAUUGGUUUUCAUGUUGGCACUUGAUAAAAUUUUAUGAACUGUGGAUUGUGAAUAAGAGGUCUUGCAUAUAGACAUUUUUGGAGAUGAAAAUGGCCUAAAAGCUGGUGCCUACGAAGCCUGGACAGAAACACAAGGGGAGUUUGUUUCCCAUGAUAACAUGUGGCCACAUAACUACUCUUGGUUUCCAUAAUCAGAGGAGUAGGAAAUACUUUUUUAUGAUAGGGUUUUUAAACGAUGGUGUUUUCUCUAGGCAUCUUCUCCAUGAAUUCUCUGUCUUUCCCACUGGAAUGAGGGACCCCUGAGGGGAAGAGAUUGUGGAAGCUCCACUUGGGUCUCUCGACUGUGUCUGUAAACUUUGCUGUGCUGCAGCUGUCACCAUCCCAGUGCGGAAUCAGAAUCUACACUCCAAU